GCACCAGGGCGCCGGCCCUUUUAUAGCCGCCGCGGCCGGGUCCAACCCCUUGUCAGUGAGGGGGUGGGGAGGAGGGCCCCGCCCUCUCCGCCUCCUCCCCUGCGGCCCCCGGCUGACCGGCUCAGCCGCAGUGAGAGGGGCGGGGUAGGGGACCGAGGAGGGAAGGGGAAUCGACGCUGCGUCAGAGGAGACCCCCGAGUUCGGGGUAGCGGGCAGAGGACUCCCGGAGUGGGCCAGUGAGGACCCCCGGGUAUGCGUCGGAAGAGCCUGAGAGUGUGUUCGGCAUAAGAAAGGGGACUUGAAACAGGGAGAGGACAAGGAGAAACCUGAUGGGAAUAGGGGCAGGAUGCCCUAGGGAUGGAGCAAUGGAAGAUUGCAGUCAUUAGGAUGAAGGGAUCCCCGUAUGAGAGAGGACACGAGGCUUUCCAAAUAGUUAAGAGAGGCCCUCAGGAUAGGGGGUACAGAGACUGUGCAGCCAGCCCCGGAAUAGAGGAGGGAGCAAGACAGUCCUGAAUGGGAGCAUGGACGCUCCAUAGAACGGAGACAGGAGACCCCUGACGGGGGGAAGUACAGUGUUCUCCUAACAUCUAGAGGACCCACUUGGAGAGCGCUCAGGAAACUCCGCGGCCAGCCCUGGAAUAGAUGAAGGGGGACCUGGAGUUGGGGAGAAUACCAAGACUACCCUCAAUGGGGGUAUGGGAGACGCUGCAGAGGAUGGAGAGAGGGAACCCCGGAUGGGUGGGGUUGGGAGGGGGCAAAGCGUUCUAUGAAAAGUCGGCAGUGGCCCCCCGAGAGAGGAGACAGGAGACCCUGCUGCCAUCCCCAGUAAAGGGGACGGACCCUCAGCGAAGCGGGCAGAGGGUUCCCUGAAUAGGCAGGAGGAAGCUGGGCUGAGUUUGAGGGGCAGAUAACCCACAGUGGGGGUACCGUAGCGGGGCUUGAGCAUGAAAUUGAGAGAGCUGGCGCCUGUGUGGGGUGGGGGGAAAUGAUGGGUGUCACCCGAGCCAGGUUCUGCACACUAGGGUCAGCUAAGCAGUUUGCUAGUCGAAUGACCUUGGACGAGCUGUAUUCUCCCACCCUUGUUUUUCCAUCUGUACAACGAAGAGGUCUUGCCCCAGAGACAAGCUCCAACUUCUGACCCCCGACUGCCCCAGGAAGUUCCACUUUGAGGGGUCUCUGGCUGAAUUGGGGAUGGGGAACCCACAUCUUGCCGUUCUCUCUCCACUAUGAAGUCCUCUUUUCUCCCUCCCCCUCCCCAUCUUCUCAGCCUCAACUUGUUCUCUGUUCCCCUACCCCCAUAACAGACAAGCAGGCGCCUGAGUCGGCAUCCCUUCUCGCUUCCAGGGAAGUGAUGGGAUGCUUUCCAGGUACAAAAGUCCCUCACCCCACUAGGAUGUCAGGUAGAAAAAGGGGUCCCCAGGACUUAGGGGGCCCUGCAACGGCUGUGACAUUUGGUUCUUUAUUGGUUUUGGCUCAUGUUUUAUGCCUUGGGAGUGGGGGAGGCGCUGCGGCUGGCGCUUCAGCACCGGGGACAGGGCCUGCUCUUUGUUGGGCGUGGGGAGGGGAAAGCGAUUAACUUCUGCUUUUACUUUAGGGGAGGGAAGGGAGGCACGGAGUGCUCAGGGGACCCGAGAGCGGAGGCGAGUGAUCCAGCAGGGUCACACAGUGAGCCAGGGACCCCUCCUUGGACUUCCUGUCAAGGGUCUAGUUCCCUGUUUUCUGGGCUGUUCUCCUCCUGCAUAGGGACCCCUGCGAAAGGACCCCUGGGGAUGCCGGGAGCCCUGAGACCCCCUUGAGAGUUUGUAGACUCCUACUUGCACUCUGAAUCUCCCCCAGGCGGUUAUCUCAACCCCCACUACACCCCCACUUUACCCGAGUUUUCCUGCUCCAGGAUUCCCAGGACAGAACAGACAGAUCCCCCAGGAAAGACCUCUGCCAGUUCCUUUCUCUUUGCCCUCUGUCUCCUUCCAAGGCCCCUGGUUCUAAGCAGACCCUCAGAGCUGGGAAAGUGAUGGCGCUGUCCCUUUAACCAUGUUUUACUGGAAGGAGAGUGCGCUGGGAGGAGGGAAGAGGGGGAGGGAGUUUCUGGUUUUGCAUGAAGAAGCAGAACAUGAUGAAGCAUUUUUCCCCCAUCUAAAGAUCCAGUCAUGCUCCAGUUUGCAAGGGGCAACGGGCUGGUUGCAGGUGGUUCUGGGAGGAUGGAGUGGUGGCUUAUUUGGCCUCCCCAGGAUGGACUGGAGCAUCAGUCGUGCCCAGGUUCAUCACAGGACAGAUACUCAAGACACCCUGAUCACCAUUAGGUGGACUUGAAGGAGCCAAAAACGGGCGCAGUGGCUCCU